rnacentral:tRNA from 1 species
GGCGCAUUGGUCUAGCGGUUAGGACAUCACCCUCUCACGGUGGUAACAGGGGUUCGAGUCCCCUAUGCGCUACCA